UACCAGGGUCAGAAGGUCAGAAGCCGUUCACGCUUGCGUGAAAACGGCUGAAUGACAUUAUGACCCGCCCAAACAUGAGCAAAAGCAAGUUUCCGAAGGAAAAUUGCAGUUUUGCGAAUGUUUGACGGAUUGCGGGAGUUACGUAGUAACGAAGCAAUCCGAUGUA
rnacentral:sRNA from 1 species